rnacentral:tRNA from 2 species
GCGGGCAUGGUGUAGUGGUAACACAAGAGCCUUCCAAGCUCUCGUCACGGGUUCGAAUCCCGUUGCCCGCU